GACGAACGCUGGCGGCGUGCUUAACACAUGCAAGUCGAACGGAAAGGCCCUGCUUGCAGGGUACUCGAGUGGCGAACGGGUGAGUAACACGUGGGCGAUCUGCCCUGCACUUCGGGAUAAGCCUGGGAAACUGGGUCUAAUACCGGAUAUGACCUUCCAUGUAGUGUGGGGGGUGGAAAGAUUUAUCGGUGUGGGAUGAGCCCGCGGCCUAUCAGCUUGUUGGUGGGGUAAUGGCCUACCAAGGCGUCGACGGGUAGCCGGCCUGAGAGGGUGGACGGCCACAUUGGGACUGAGAUACGGCCCAGACUCCUACGGGAGGCAGCAGUGGGGAAUAUUGCACAAUGGGCGGAAGCCUUAUGCAGCGACGCCGCGUGGGGGAUGACGGCCUUCGGGUUGUAAACCUCUUUCGACAGGGACGAAGCUUCGGUGACGGUACCUGUAUAAGAAGCACCGGCUAACUACGUG
rnacentral:rRNA from 1 species